UGACACGGUGUGAACAAACCUGCUCCGACAUCAGUAUAUUUCCUCUUCAGAGAAUAAGCGCUAGCGAGACAGAGGGGGUGUGCAAAGAGAGAAUUGGAACUUACAAGUAUGCACGUGUUGCCAGUGUGGAGAGCGAGAAGUUUGGAUGUGUGUCUCGCCAUCUAGAGGAGACCCAUAUGGAAGAUGAAGCCAUAUUUGGUGGAUACGGUAAAACCUCCGGGUUACAUCGUGUUAGGUCCAAUGGCACAACAAGAGAUUCGAACAAUGCAGAAGAGAAGGCUUUUGUUGUGUGCGAGUACGGACGACAGUGCAUGACACACUGCAAACAAACAUGCUCGGACAUCAGCAUAUUAUUUCCUCUUCACAAAGUAACGGCUCGAUAUGCAGACCAUGAAUGCUAUGUUAGCAAGGAUCUGCUCGGCAAAUACGAAAUGGCUCAUGUUGCCAGUCACGAGAGCGAGAUUUUCGGAUGUGUGUCCCGUCAUCUCAGGGAAACGGGUAUGCAGGCUGAGAGUGUGUUUGCCGAACACAGCCAAUACCAUCACCCCAGAGUUAGAACGAAUGGUGUGGCCCGAAAUGCUAUUCAUCUGGACGAGCAGGCAUACGUUGUAUGCGAGUAUCGCAGUCGUUGCACUUACAAGUGUACUACAGCCUACAGCAAUGGCGUAGGUUUCACAUCCAAACUACACUUUAUACCUCAAUACUAUGGCUUACACUACGAAGCAGCUGUCAGGUUGUGCAAGGCCAAUUAUCUGAAGCUUCCAUCUAUAGAGGAAAGAUCAUGCUUGAAUGAUUUCCUCACCCACACCUUGGGAACCAUGGGUUCCGGUUGGAUUUUAACACCAGGAGCCUCAAGAUAUGCCCUCAUAAGCCGGCCGAAACAAAAUGACAUGACUCAACCGCAACUAAUCCCGGCAUCUCAAACACUAAUGAUAGGCAUCUGUUCAAGUAACCGGUGGGACUCGCUCAGUAGGCAAGCGGGUGAUUGGCGCAAACGGCUCGUGAAGUCCUUCACAGGCAGAUAGGUGCCAUGAGUGCACAUACAAACGUGUACUGUAAUCUGCGUGGGGACACUACUGCAGAGACAAAAUGCAUGUCGUGAGCACGUACAUGCUGGAUAUCCUUCAUCAAGCUGCAAUUGCCAUCCGAAUUUCGGCACAGAACUUCAAGUUGAGCAAAAUUCUCAACCUGCCUGCAUUGUUUUAAACACAUCAAGGCUGGUGAAGCUCCACCAAAAUGGCAAUAUGCACUUGAGCAGAUGUUGUGCCUGUCAGCUCUGCACAUCCCACAUGCUUAAGCAGCCUCUUUUGUUACUUUUGUGUUCUAUCCGAGUGCAUGAUACUAUUUCUAUUGUCAUAGUACUUAUCUCUUCUUCAAUUGCACUCUGAAGAGGAGUGAAGUUCUUGCUGCAGCAUGCACGACUGAAGGAAGGGGAGCAGGAACAAUACCCCGCUGUUUUAUCGCAACCUCUUCACUGCACAGUUUACCCAUUGCUCCUGUUGUUGACUACUCUCUUCUUGCCUGCCAACAUCACCUGCCAUUGCUCCUCUGUUCUUGCCUGCCAACAUCACCUGCCAUUGCUCCUGUUGUUGACUACUCUGUUCUUGCCUGCCAACAUCACCUGCCAUUGCUCCUGUUGUUGACUACUCUGUUCUUGCCUGCCAACAUCACCUGCCAUUGCUCCUGUUGUUGACUACUCUGCUCUUGCCUGCCUACAUCACCUCUACCAGAGAAGGCACAAGAGUUGUCUUGUGAA